rnacentral:rRNA from 1 species
GACGGAGGAUGCAAGUGUUAUCCGGAAUCACUGGGCGUAAAGCGUCUGUAGGUGGUUUAAAAAGUCUACUGUUAAAGCUUGAAGCUUAACUUCAAAAAUGCCGUAGAAACUUUUAAACUUGAGUAUGGUAGGGGUAGAGGGAAUUUCCAGUGGAGCGGUGAAAUGCGUAGAUAUUGGAAAGACCACCAAUGGCGAAGGCACUCUACUGGGCCAUUACUGACACUGAGAGACGAAAGCUAGGGGAGCAAAUGGG